KAAGGCCCCAAGCGUUAUCCGGAUUUAUUGGGCGUAAAGCGUUAAAAGGCGGUUUGGAAAGUACCCGGUCAAAUUCUACGGCUCAACCGUAGAGCUGCCGGGUAGACUUCUAGACUUGAGGGUGGAAGAGGCAAGCGGAACUACCGGUGUAGUGGUAAAAUGCGUUAAUAUCGGUAGGAACACCAAAGGCGAAGGCAGCUUGCUGGUACACACCUGACGCUAAAUAACGAAAGCGUGGGGAGCGAAUGGGAUUAGAUACCCCAGUAGUCCACGCCGUAAACGAUGGAUGCUAGGGAUUGGGAGUUUCGACCCUCUCAGUCUCGUUCAAGCUAACGCGUUAAGCAUCCCGCCUGGGAAGUACGGCCGCAAGGCUA
rnacentral:rRNA from 1 species